CCCAAAAGUCACCACCACAGUUCAUCAUUCUCUUGGCACAACAUCCAAGAAUAAGAAACAGCUUGGAUACCUAGGGCAUUUUACCUGUGUAGGUGAUGAAUUUUAAUACCAUUUCCAGCAAUUUAUGGAUAUGAAAGGAAAGGAGGUGAUUUUAUUCUGUAAGCAUUUAUCACUCACUGGCAUACCAAUUUGUUGUUUUAUGUUUAAUGUAAGUAGUUCCUUUAUGGUAUCAUUGAUCUGCUUGUCUGCGUUUACCAUACUGGGGGUUAGCUUGGGAGCCCUGAACAGGUGAGGCAGGUGCUGUACCACUGAGCCACACCCCUAAUCCUCACUAGCACUGUGACUCUACACCUCAGAAUGGCCAUUGCUGGGAAACUUAAGCACAAAAUAUACAGACAGGGUCUUGCCAUGAUCACUUGAAUAAUCCUCCUGCCUCAGCCUCCCAAGUACUGGGAUUUCAGGCUUGUGCCAGCAUGCCCCAGCAGCAUAACUCAGGAGGCAACAGUAGAAGCCAAACCUGAAUGGGAAAAAACAGAUUAAAAUCAAUGAUGACAGAGGGAAAAAAUGUACAAAUACUUGGAUGGGGGAGGAUUCAUCUUCAUCUAGAGGCGACCGGAAGUGCUCUGGUAGAUCUCGAGAUUCUGGCCACAGUCGGCGGAGGCCAGGAAGAGGACAG
rnacentral:lncRNA from 1 species